CGCACAUAGUACAAGUAUUACUGUACAUUCAAAGCCAAAGGUAGUAUUUUAUUCGGCUUUAUAUUUGUAUGUGUAUUGAUAUCUAUUUAAUAUUUGAAUUCUAUGCCUUUCCGAGUAAUAUAUUGUGCGGCUAAUGUUUUGUAUUAUGGUUCAUGUUGCACAAUGUACACGCCUUGCGUCAAUUUGACAGUUGACAGUUUAUUUAUCGCAGUCGACGCUGAUUGGUUAGCGUUUAGCAGAUGCGAAAAGGGAUGAUUGAAUAAAACGCAUGGUUCCGUGCAGGCUCACCUUUCUCCCAGUGAGCCUGUUCGCAGGCUAGGGUUUGUUAGAGAAGUACUGCCCUUGCCCCCCCCAAAAAAAAAAAACAACAUGGGACCCCCUGGAGGUUUGUAGGUGCGACUUGACGCUUAUACCUGUUGAAACACCUGUUUUACCUGUUCCACUCACAACUGUGGAGAACCCUGGAUAAUGUCGACACUUACAGUAACAUUACUUAUGAGUUAUCCGUGUAGAUGGUUAGCUGCAAAGGGCAGGGCCGUAGGAAGCUCUUUUCGAUUGGGAGGGGGGGGGGAGGUCUGAAAGCGAGGCCCGAGGAAAUUUUUAAAUUUAGGGUCUCUGAAAUGCCAUUUCCUGGACUUUGAGGAAGAUUUGACAGAAUUCUGAUGGUCAGAAAACAGCGUUUUAGUAUGUCGAGAUUUACAAUUUAGUAGUACUAAAUGGGCGAAGGCGUAUUUAAUCAACUAUAUAUUGGAUAAGUUGCAGGAAAGUAUGGGUAAUAUCUUCAUUCUUUGCAGGGUCUGCAUGAUUUUGAAAAAAGAACAGCAUAUUAUUGGGGGGGGGGGGAUUGCAGCCCCCCCCCAGUUGCUACGGCCCUGGAGGGUGGUUUACCAAACAUUUGCAAUUACUCGGAUUCAGGUCAAGGGGCAUGUAGCAAUGUUUAGUAUCCACCUAGCUGACCAUAGCCUAUCGAUGGCUGUGAAACUUAUUAGAAUAACAAUAUAACUCAUCUAUGUUAGUCAACGUUUAUUCAUAAAUCUGGUCCUCCACCGUCACGUGUGUAUUGUAUUUUUGCCCAACUAACCAAUAAAAUACAAUACACACGUGACGGUGAAGGACCAGAUUUAUGAAUAAACGUUGACUAACAUAGAUAAUGAGUUAUAAUAUAUUGUUAAAUUCUAAUAAGUUUCACAGCCAUCUUCCCUUCGAUGUGCUAUGACCUGACCAACCGUUUGAAUGUUUCUAAUUACCUUUGCAAAUUUGAGGCCUGUUUCAUACGUCGAAUUUAAUUACGGGAUCAGAAAGACAGAAACAGACUUUAAACGUAAUUUAUGCAUUUAAUUUGAUAAGACGUCGUAUGAAACGAAGACGCGCUACAGACGUGUGGAUACACGAAAUAUCUGAACAUAACGGAUAAAACGUCUUGGACGAAUUUAAUAGGCAAUUCCAGCUUUUAGUUUAUGCCUGCAGGGGAUGAUGGGAAGUAAUGUAUCAUAUUUAACAAUUAUUCGCCGAAGGCGAGGUGAUUAUCGGGGAACUGAUAUUCGCCGAGACGAAGUCGAGGUGAAUAUUCACCGAGCCUGAGGCGAAUAAUUGUUUUAGUAUUUUUACACAAGUCUUUUGUGUUUUUGGGCCUGAAUUUGUUUUAAUUUCGCUUAUUUCUUUAUCAGUAACUUCCAC